AUUCUAGUACAUAUGUGUGUUACAUACAAUAUCAGUCAAAUUCAUAUUGGAUAUACAUAUGUACAUAUGCACAUAUUAAAUGUUUUACCUUUUGUAAGUUACCAAAACAUAUGUAUGUAUGUAUAUUGUUUCUUCCCCGGAAACGAGGAUACAAUUAUUGUGACCUCAGCUGGUGCGGCAUUCACCUCAAUCACAUUUUGUGCAGGCCGACAAAUUGUCGCACAACAUUUAACGCCCGGGAUUGGGUCAGCGGACAGGGUCAGGCAGGAGCGGCGAGGGAAAGAUGACUUUGUUGGCGGCAAUAUCCAAGGGCAGCAUACAAAAAAAUUCCUUUGAAUUGCGUCCGUUGCAGCAGAAGUGCACACACACACAGGCAGCCUGUGGCUAUGCGCAAAAAAGGACAUCUCCUCCGGCGGUGUGGCUCCGGUGGCUGCCUAUCGGGGCUAGGCAACUGACCAGCCGCCACCCAGCUCGGCUCGGCUCGGAGGUGUGGUAGCAUUGUGUGCGCCCUUCUCUAUUAUGCAUUGCGUACCCGGCGUGUUGACAUUUUUAUUCCAAACAGUUGAGCAAUAUUUAUAGACUGCCUGCCGAACGAGGAGGCCGAGGAGAAGGAGGGAAUGCAUGUCCAUGGUGCAUGGCCAAAGGCAUUAUUUCAUGGCUGAGCAGCGUGUAAAACAUCCUCGUGGUUUCAAGCUUAUUAAAUGUGCAAUUUGAUUAACAUUGCUGUACGCCCACUCAGCUAAUGGAAGGACCAAGGCGAAUCCUAGACAUGGCGAAACAUCAGGACAAUUAGGAAGAGAAAGGAAGCACUUCCAACUCAAUAAAGGUAUUUAAUGUUGACAUUUAGUUAGUUACGACUUAUUUAUUUACAGAAAUGCUGGGCUGUCUUAACCUUCUACAAAUUCUCCAUCAAAAGUCCAAGUUACUUGCAAGUAAUACCUAAAUUUGUUUGUUAUCGAACAUAAAUCCUUCCAUAAAGAAAAGUUUAAGUUGCCAACGAUGUCUGUGGAUAGUUUCUUGUACUUAUAAAGGAAUUUAGCGAACUGUUAAGCCUUUAGCUACUGCAAACAUCGGUAUAUUUUUCUGAACACAUAAUUUUAAUUACCUAAAUUAGUUAUAGCCCGGCCUUCCCUAUAUCAAAUAACAUUUGCUAAAGGACAACAGCUGUCAUUCUAACAUUACGCAAUUAACCGCAAAUGUACAAUUUACCUUUGUCGCCACUCAAUUGCUAUUGUUUUUCCUUGGCAGCUUAUUAAAUGUCAUAUUUUGCGGGCCCAGAGGCGACAAGGCGAAGGCGAUACCGAAGUCUGGAUUUGUUGAUGUUUGCUUGUGGAGAAACACCUUGGAGCCUGCCCAGCCAAGUGCCAGGUCGAGGCCCAGGAUCCUCUAAUUGAAUGACAAUAUUAUGCCAAGACCUAAUUCAAUUUGCAUUGCUUGGGAAGAGCUUCAGGUGGAGCUGCUGUCGGAGCCGGCACAUUGGUGGAAUCUUAAACAAACACGGCAAUUACAGCAAAACGGAUGCACUUGUCUGGCCCGAAAUGACUUGGCCUCUGUGUAAUUAGCCUCGGGGAUGAAGGAAAGGAUGCGGGAUGGUGGCGGAUGGGACCUGUGUCGAUCCUGUUGCCUAAUUACGGGGUAAUCAGGCUUUCAGUCGCCUCGGCUACCGUUGACCCAGGCGAAUGAUGAUUGAUUAGGGCCACCAAGUGGAUAUGAAACAGAGGUGACACAGCUGCCUCCAGGAGCAGGAGAUGCGCGUGCCAAAACAAAAGGAGGCGAGGCGAGGAAAGUGCAAAUAGCAGCUGAAAUGGAUAUGGAAAGCAGCCAGAACAACGACGACGCGCGCAAAGGGAAAAAGCAAAUCGAAAACUGAUUUGGAGCGGAAGUUCGUUUGCACCUUUCUGCAGUUUCCUGUAUUUGCUGUCGCUGUCGCUGUCAGAACAAUAAACACACAUAUGCCGAGGGCCCAGCCCAUCCACAAUCGCAAUC